GACGAACGCUGGCGGCGUGCUUAACACAUGCAAGUCGAACGGAAAGGCCCUGCUUUUGUGGGGUGCUCGAGUGGCGAACGGGUGAGUAACACGUGAGUAACCUGCCCUUGACUUUGGGAUAACUUCAGGAAACUGGGGCUAAUACCGGAUAGGAGCUCCUGCUGCAUGGUGGGGGCUGGAAAGUUUCGGCGGUUGGGGAUGGACUCGCGGCUUAUCAGCUUGUUGGUGGGGUAGUGGCUUACCAAGGCUUUGACGGGUAGCCGGCCUGAGAGGGUGACCGGCGACAUUGGGACUGAGAUACGGCCCAGACUCCUACGGGAGGCAGCAGUGGGGAAUAUUGCACAAUGGGCGGAAGCCUGAUGCAGCAACGCCGCGUGCGGGAUGACGGCCUUCGGGUUGUAAACCGCUUUCGCCUGUGACGAAGCGUGAGUGACGGUAAUGGGUAAAGAAGCACCGGCUAACUACGUG
rnacentral:rRNA from 1 species